AGAAGGUGAGGGUCUGUGGGCUGGGACACUAAGCCUGAGAAGAGGCCCCUGGCCAUGCAGUGUGUGAGGCAGAUGCAGGAGCCCAGUUUCCCAUGUCUGAAGUACCUGCUGGCCUGUGACACACACUCCCAGCUCUUCCUGUCCCACUUGCAGGGACACAGCGCUGUGUUCUGGGACGGGGACAAGGACGACAGGAACUACAGUGUGGU